AGCAGCCGCGGUAAUUCCAGCUCCAAUAGCGUAUAUUAAAGUUGUUGCAGUUAAAAAGCUCGUAGUUGAAUUUCGAGAUCAAAUUGUUGGUCGUGCCUCGGUACGUACUGGCAUUAUUGAUUUCUCCCUUCUGACGAUCCGCGAUGUCAUUAAUUUGGUGUCGCGGGGAAUCAGGACUGUUACUUUGAAAAAUUAGAGUGUUUAAAGCAGGCUCACGCUUGAAUACAUUAGCAUGGAAUAAUGAAAUAGGACGUUUGAUUCUAUUUUGUUGGUUUCUAGGAUCGACGUAAUGAUUAAUAGGGAUAGUUGGGGGCAUUAGUAUUCAAUUGUCAGAGGUGAAAUUCUUGGAUUUAUUGAAGACUAACUACUGCGAAAGCAUUUGCCAAGGAUGUUUUCAUUAAUCAAGAACGAAAGUUAGGGGAUCGAAGACGAUCAGAUACCGUCGUAGUCUUAACCAUAAACUAUGCCGACUAGG
rnacentral:sRNA from 1 species